CCUACGGGAGGCAGCAGUGGGGAAUAUUGCGCAAUGGGGGAAACCCUGAUGCAGCGACGCCGCGUGAGUGAAGAAGGUCUUCGGAUCGUAAAGCUCUGUCAGCAGGGAAGAAGGGUCACUGUGCUAAUCAGCAGUCCAUUGACGGUACCUGCACAGGAAGCACCGGCUAACUCCGUGCCAGCAGCCGCGGUAAUACGGAGGGUGCGAGCGUUAAUCGGAAUAACUGGGCGUAAAGCGCUCGUAGACGGUAUGACAAGUCAAGGGUGAAAUCCCCGCGCUCAACGUGGGAACUGCCUUUGAAACUGUGAAACUGGAGUGUGGGAGAGGAUAGUGGAAAUCCAGGUGUAGGAGUGAAAUCCGUAGAGAUCUGGAGGAACAUCAGUGGCGAAGGCGACUAUCUGGCACAUAACUGACGCGGAGGAGCGAAAGCGUGGGGAGCAAACAGGAUUAGAUACCCCAGUAGUC
rnacentral:rRNA from 1 species